ensembl:lncRNA
UGGGGCUUGUAGAUCCAUGGUAGAUGAUACUAAAGAUAUAACAAACUAACAAAUACUAGUUUAAUUUCAAGAUGCUACUUAGAGAUUGGUGGUCAGAUGCCAACAUCUCAUGUGAGCUCAGUUACAGCAGACAGAAUUUAUAAACAGGGAAAGACACCAAUAAGUAUCAGAGCCAGAUUCAGCCCUGAUGUCCAGGUGGGUAAACUCCACUCCUCUGAGGGGCAGGCAGAAUGCAGAGGGUGAGAUUGAUUCCUCCAAAUGACAGCAUCAUGCUUGUGGCAGAAAAUAAGAAUCAGUGCAGGGGCUUUAGCACAGGAAUCAUCCAUCCAACUUGAAAGCAUUGGACCAGUGGGACUCAGAUGCUGUUGUGACAAGGAGAAGGAAGAAGCACAGUACAAGCAGGGGAGCACCUGGUAUAAAGAAGGAGUGAAGGGAAGAGAAGAGACAAAGAUUUUCUAGGAAAAGAAAGAACAGAGCUAAUGGAAGGAAGAGAGAGCAGAGAGAGAAGGAUGCAUCUUCUUCCUUUCGGGACUAAGACAGGUAUGGAACUGCAGGAUGCGUUAGUUAGCAAUCAGUCUGAAUGGGCUGGCAUGGCUUCCAGCGACUCAGAGCAACUCCACGGAGCUGAACGAUGAGCCUACGCAUUUUAUGAGUUUAAACAGUAAGCAGAGACUGAGCCCUAAUUCUCUAGACUUGUGGUGUGACCAGAAACCACCUCCUUUUCUGCUUCUGAUUUCCCUCAGCAGUAAGGAAAACCGAGCUACAAGAACAAUAUUUCACCAACCAUUUCUUCUAAAAGUAUUCUAAUAAAAACAUCCUGAAACUAGCAUUCAACUACUUCCUUUUUUUAAGUUUUUCUUUCUUUCUGAUUUUAAGAUGGUGGUUUUAAAGCAGUAGUUUUAAUCUAAAUUACAGAGCAACAAGAAGAAUGAAUGUUACUAUUCAAAAUAAAAAAAAGUAUACUUAAAUUGGCAUCUAACUUAUGAUUAAAUUACCAGCCCAAUUAGUUACUGAAUUUAUAGUAGUUCUUCCCUUAAUUUAUCAUUAAAUGACAGGUAAAAUGUCCAUAAAGCAAAUUCUGGGCUUUUAAAAUUCUAAAUAUAAACAACAAAAAACCAAAAAAGUACCUGGACAGCUUUUCAGUGCCUCUGAGAUACUGGGGAAUAGAGCAGAUAGCAGUUUAGGUUUAAUUUAUUUUGUCUGCCUCCAUCUGUGCACACUGUGCUGCUGGCUUGUUGCAAUGCUUGAUUUGUUAUUUUAUACCUCUAUGUAUGAAGGUCACUUACUCUACUUAUGUUUUCACUUACGGGACUUCAUUCGUUUCGCAAACCACUACUGCAAGGAUGAUAGAAAAGUCUGUUGAAAGAUAUAAAAUCCCUAUGAUACAAAGGUGGCAGUGAUUAUUCUCACACUGCGACUAUUGGGAGGAAAUUUCCCUGGGUUGAUUUUGGACACUGUGCUCCUGGAAUGACAUCUUUGGUAGAUUAGCAGAAAUACAGGUUGCAACUUACCAAAAGACUUUUGUUAACAGGGUGCAAAUACAAUUAUAUUUCUUUUUCCAUCACCUUUGAGAACUCAAGCAUUCCUACACACUUUCAUGCCCAGCAAAGUACUUUAGAGCUGGUUAAUAUCCUGAAGAUCAGGCUAUAACACUGUCUAAUAUUUUGGUUUGCUGGUGGCUUUCUUCUGUAUUGUUUCACACUUGCUGUCAGCACAGGUUUAUGAAUAAGGAAAGCCACACUGGUUUACACUUGCGGAGGUCUGAUAAAAGUGCUUGGCAUGGAUUUUUCUUCAGUUAUGCCACAACAUACCCUAUCUGCUUAGCUCUUCUAAUGUGACCUGAACUGUGGUCAGUGAGGAAGGAGCAGCUUUUCACUAUUAGUCUGUAUAGUGUUUGUAUCAAGUAGUUACCUGGACAGUGGGUAAGGCCCUUUUCUAACAUCAGAGACAGGCACUGCAGAUGUCAGUGAGGCUGAAGAUGGAGAACCCUGGGCUUGCUGUGUUACUGAAUUGUUCUUUUCCAUUUGGACAGCUGUGACCUGAUUAGCUAUCAGAUAUCCUUUCUGCAUGGCAAAAUAUGCAACUGUGUAUCUACAAAAAAACCAUUGCAACUAUUAGAUCUUACUUUUCCUACCCACUUCCCUACAGGUUUGUGUUAAAAAAUGGUCAUCCUCUUAGAACUGCCUGUACCUUACCUUGAGUACUCAUAGGUAGAGAAUAGCACGUGCUCCUCAUGUCCCUUAGUCACGUUAGCCAACUCACACAUGAAAGUGAAGUAGAGCUGAAUGUGAUGCCCAGGGCUUUGCCUUUCCAGUUGUUCUCUUGAGUACUCAGUGCUCCUCUGAUGCUUUUUUUAAAAAAGGUUUGAAAAUAAGUGCAAGAUUAAACAGGACUUCAAUAGCAAGUAUCUAUUUGACACUAGGAAUUAUUUCUGCCAUGAUCAUCAUUAAAUAAUGUCGCUGCAAGCAAAAAUUACAUUGUGCAAACCAAAUAAAACCCAAACAAGCCUUUUCAAUCCCUUUGAGCUCUUCUCACAAUGUUUUCUACAAAUCCUCAUACUCACGCUCCAAGAAAAUACUGUAAAAAAAAUCUAAUUUGCUGGAUGGGUGGGGUUUUCACUGGCACAGUGCCAGGCCAUGCACACCAAAUUCUGCAGUGCUUGCUGUUUUCUUUUUCAGGUAAACAGAAGAAAACAGUACGUGGAAGGCAUGAGCAAACAGCAUUCGGCAGAAUAACCAAACUCCUUUCCAUCAUUAAUUUUUCUAAUGAAAUGAACAAAAAAGACUAUACAUAAGGCAUCAGGAGGUAACAUAGAGUACAAAGUCUCUAUCAGUGAUUAAAAUUACUGAGUACCAGAAUAUAUGCAGUCUCAGUGCUACUUGGGGCCUUGGUUCUCUGCUGAAUAUGGCAACUAUUUGCAGUGGUAAGGGGAGAAAAAUAUCUAGACUAUGUCAUGGUUCAAUGAUUUAUGGGAAAAUAUCUAUUUUACCACCUUUUGCCAUAUUCUUGUUGAUUUACCCGAAAUAUUAGUUUUACACCUUUGUGUUUCAACGAUGCCAAUAAGUAGCCCAGGAAAGCUUGCAGAUGGGUCACUGUGUAGCCUCAACACUCUUCAAGGCACACUGAACUGACAUGAAGUAGUUGUUGUGGAUUCACUCACCAUGCUGCUAAGGAAAACAUAAUCUUCUGGACUCAUAUG